rnacentral:pre_miRNA from 1 species
AUGGUACUCCCUCGGUCCCGAAAUACUUGUCGGAAGAAUGGAUGUAUCUAGAUGUAUUUUAGUUUUAGAUACAUCCAUUUUUAUCCAUUUCUCCGACAAGUAUUUUCGGACGGAGGGAGUAUAAU